rnacentral:rRNA from 1 species
GACGAACCGUCCAAACGUUAUUCGGAAUCACUGGGCUUACAGAGUUCGUAGGCGGUCUGGAAAGUUGGGUGUGAAAUCCCUCGGCCUAACCGAGGAACUGCGCUUGAAACUACCAGACUCGAGGGAGAUAGAGGAAAGCGGAACUGAUGGUGGAGCGGUGAAAUGCGUUGAUAUCAUCAGGAACACCGGUGGCGAAGGCGGCUUUCUGGGUCUUACCUGACGCUGAGGCGCGAAAGCCAGGGGAGCAAACGGG